rnacentral:rRNA from 1 species
UACGUAGGGUGCGAGCGUUGCUCGGAAUCAUUGGGCGUAAAGCGCACGUAGGCGGCCUGUUAAGUCGGAUGUGAAAGCCCCGGGCUCAACCCGGGAAGUGCAUUCGAAACUGGCGGGCUUGAAUAUGGAAGAGGGUCGCGGAAUUCCCGGUGUAGAGGUGAAAUUCGUAGAUAUCGGGAGAACACCAGUGGCGAAGGCGGCGCUGGGCCAAUAUUGACGCUGAGGUGCGAAAGCGUGGG